AGCAGGGCAUCAACGUAGCGGAGAGCGCGAAUACCGCCCAGCUGUUACGCCGGGCAGCGCACCCCCUGCCUCCUCCUCCUUCUAAACACCGCCUCUUCUCCCCAAGCCGAGGCUGGGGCCUACCAGUAAUCUAACCUUCCCCCCACCCCCAUUCCUCCCGAGAAUAGGGCCUGGGGGAAAGAGCUCUCCCUGCCUGUUAAAGGGGCAUUAUAGGUGUCAUUACCGCUGGCAGUUCAUUUAAUAUUCUUACUUUCAAGAUGAUUUCGUUUCGGAAAUGUGCCAGUGGAUGGUCUCCUGAUGUAACUAAGAGUUUCUCCUGGAGAAACUCAGCAGCCUGCAUAUCCAUGGACACUGUGGGUAAUUGUGCAUAGCCAAUCUACCUAACCUGCACAUCUUUGGACUGUGGAGGAAACCAGAGGAAAUCCACGCAGACACAGGGAGAACGUGCAAACUCCACACAGUCAGGCACUCGAGGGUGGAAUCAAAUCCUGGUCCCUGGAGCUGUGAGGCAGCAGAGUUAACCACUAUGCUGCCCCAUGCCUUGGAAGGAGAGGAACUGGAAUUCAUCUUGGAAAACCUGGAUGGCUGAAACUAGGACUAUACAUCUAGAGUGAGCUGCCUAGAAAAUAUUUAAGAUAUCUUUGUAUCUGCUAAUUCUCGUAUAAUUUCUAAUUUGUACCAACCAUGAUUUGACUGUUAAUGCAUAUUUAAUUUUUAAAUUUUGAUUAAAUUUAGUAUAAAAAAUUA